CAGCUGAGUUAAUGAGAGGAUAUUUGUUGCCUUCCUCCCUUUGUUUGACCUUGUUCAGCAGCCAUAGUUAAAACCAAACACACACAAAUACUCUGUAAUCAACCACACUGCUCUGCUGAGUCGACACCUGCUGCCUCUCCUGCUCCGUUCACGUCAUCUGAGUCAGCGCCAGCGCUUCUUCCCCACAGGGUGACUGAUGAUUCAUCAGCACAGUCUUGCAUCAGGAGAGGGAAUCAUGUUCGUAAAAUAAGCCCACAAUGCCUCAGUUUCCUGUCCCACAACAUCUGCUCAAAUGAUUAUGAAAAACACUCAGCAUGGCGCCUCGUCGCUCAGAGCGUCCAUAUGUGGAAGUAAACACUGUUUGUGAUACGAUGCCAUCCUUCCUGAGGCGGCCAUCACUUUGUCUCUUCAGCUCAGAGAUUUAAAACAGUGUGAUAAUGAUGCAGUCUUUCUCUCACCGUGGCACAUUAUUAGAUGCUUAAAAUUGUCUCUGUACAAAUUUGUUUUCUCGCUCUUGUAGUCUGUAAACAGCUCUCUGUUCCAGAGAGCCUUGCAGAG